rnacentral:tRNA from 1 species
GACUGCGUGGCCGAGUGGAUAAGGUGUCGGAUUUCGGAUCCGAAGUACGCAGGUUCGAAUCCUGCCGCGGUCC